CGAUAAAGUAAUACUCGAUAAAUUAAUAACUA
rnacentral:sRNA from 1 species